UUUUUUUUUUUUUUUUUUUUUUUUUAAAGGAAGGGUUGAAUUUCAGCCCAAAGCCCAUUAGUAAAUGUCUCCUUGGACCUUACACUGAGCUGGUUUGGUUUGCAGAGUGCCCACGGAACUGAUACCAAAACAAGGCACUGUCAGCCAAGACCAAUGAGGUCAGGAAGGGAUGGGAAGGGAUGUGCUGGAUCUACCAUGGUGAUGCUGAUGAGUUCAGGCUUGGUGGCUUAGGCUGCCCAGAGAAGCUGUGGCUGUUCCUGGAUCCCUGGCAGUGUCCAAGGCCAGGUUGGACAGGUCUUGGAGCACCCUGGGCUAGUGGAAGGUGUCCCUGCUUAUGGUGGUGGCACUGGAUGGGCUUUAAGGUCCCUUCCAACCAAACCAUUCUGUGAUUCCAUGACUUGAGGACAUGCUGGUUUUCCAUGUGGGUGUCUGUGCUUGGUAAAUGAGGAAUGAGCCAGAUCCUGCUGUCCUGCUGGGGGGCUCUGCAGCCCUAGGGAAGCCAGGAGCACCUGCUGCCCACAGUCACGCAUGGAAGGCAUUUGCAGAGUUAGCUCAGCUUUGAAGUCAGCUCGUCAGCACAAUUCCAGGUGUGGAGUGGGUUCACGGGGGAAACUCAAGAAAAUAAACAGCUGGGUGAGAGCAGCCAGCAAAAUAAACCCACCAGAGCUGCGUGUGGGGCUCUGCUGGAGCAGCUGAUGAAUGAAUGCCAGCACAGAGAACAAACCCCACAGCCCUGGUGCGAGCAGGAGACGGCUCAGCUCAGCUCCUGGAGAGCAGGUGGAGCCUCUGGAGCUCCCUCUCGGUGAGGAUGGAUCACCACACCCUGCGCUGAGAAGCCCUCGGAUCCUCCUGUGGAUGCUGAGGGAAUUCAGACGCCGCUUUGAGGGUCUAAAGGGAAAAAGAAAAGCGAGAAAGAAGAAAGGAUAGACAGCAGGUUGGAGGGACGUGCCUGGCGCUUGGAGCACAACGUGGCAAGGUUGGCAGUGCCCCCCAGCUCCAGAGAACCAGAUCCAGCAGGGCUGUGCUGAGCCCCAGCACUCACCCCAGGGGCUGCAGCAGCUUCCAGUCACUCUUCACUUCCAGCCAAACUCUGAG
rnacentral:lncRNA from 1 species